GAACUUUGGAGAAUCCCGUAUUAAAUCGGGUGCCGAAGGGGCAAGGCGGUUUCGCUAAUCUCUCAGGCAAAAGGACAAAGU
rnacentral:ncRNA from 1 species